rnacentral:lncRNA from 1 species
GGGGGCUGUGUAUGUGUAUGUGUGGGGCGCUGCUUGUGUCCCCCCCCCAGCCCCACUCAGCACCUGGAAAGCCGCUGCAGAACUUUCUGGAAGCCCCCGCACGCUGAAUGUGCUGCCCCCAUAGUGCUGGGCACGCAGGUAUUGUUACACUUCUGUGUCUCAGGCUGUAUUUUGUGCGUUCACAUACAAGCUUUGUGUGAUGUGUUUCCCUGGGGAGCUGCACCUAGGCUCAGGACAGCCAGAAGAUCUGGAUCGGGUACAAAGCAGGCACAGCAAACUAGUGUGCCAAGGGAUGCUGGGUUCCAGGUAUACUUACAAAAAGGAUCAUGGUAUUGUGAAGGAGACCUACUGCUCUUGACUGAAGCUCUUAUAUGCAGGCAACUCCUCAUGGCUCUUCCUCGUGUGAGCUUUAAAUGUGAUUCUACCAGAUACCUGAAAUGUUAUUUUAAACCUAAUCAGAUUUUAAUCUGUGACUCUACAGUGCUUCUGAAACCUAAGCAGAUGUGGAGAUCUGAGUACAGAAUGUGCUGA